GACCUCCUAGUGUUUACCACAGGCUGUGUUUUUAUGUUGACUGUAUACAAAGAGAAGGCAGGGUAAAUCUAUUCUGUAUAGACCCCAGCCUGGACCUCCUGUCUGGUCUGUGUUGUGAAUGGGGGACAUGG
ensembl:snoRNA